ensembl:lncRNA
AUUAUUCAUUUUUCUUACAGGAAGAUUCUAUCUUUUAAGAAAAAAAGAAGUCAAUUUGAGCUGAUAUGGUAAUUCAGGAUAAGGAGCCAUUAUGAUUACCGAGAUAUAGAUUUAUAUUUAUUUUAUUACUAUUAUAUUUUACUUUUCACUGACACCUGGGGAAGUUGUUCUGCGAUGACCCAGGGAGUUAUUUUAGUCAGGGUGUCCCUGACCUCCUGCUGGUAGAUUAAUUACAUAUGAAACACUGUGUUUUCAAAACGAAAUGAUAAAUCUGGACACAUAAAGGAGGCAGAAAAGAAUCCGAGCGAGAGAGGAGAUCUUAAGAAACAAAACAAGGGAUUGCAAAAGGGAGAUAGAUAGGAUAACGUAGGAAAUGGAAUUGGGAAAGAAUUUCAAGAAAACAAGGAUAAAGGGCAGGGAGGGCCGAAAGGAUGGCAAGAGGGAGGAAAGAAGGGAAGAAAGGACUCGGGGUUUUUCAAUUCCCAGGCGAGGCUGCUGGCGUCCGCGCCCUUAACGCCACAGCCUUCCAAGUUGAGGCGAAAGCCACCUCCUCGGGCCUGCGUCGCAUCCAACUUACUCCAAGUUUUCUGGUGACUCCUACAGGGCCCUUUCCGUCCCCCCUCCCACCCCUGAGUGAGAUUGACAGUCGCGUGGAGGAGGCUUUUCCAGGCACAGCCUUUCUCAUGGUAAUCAGCCCCCAGCAUCACCUCCCGGCCGCGGCCGCUCCCGCUCCGUGCGCAGCUAGCGGACCCCGGGGACCGGAAACAAGGCGGCGGGCGGGGAGCCGGCCAGCGAGCCAGGCUCAACUCCGAAUGGAUUGGAUUGCGAGUUCGCACGUGAGAAACCGUUUGACUUGGCUUGGACCCCUGCCGCCCCCCCACCCCCUCAACACACCCCCAUUGCAGGGGUCCCCCUUAUCACCCUUUCCUUCCAACUCUAAAAGAAGUUGCCCACCUCCUGUGUAACGGCACGGUCGAAAUAAUUCCUCUGGAUGAAAGAUCAAUUCCGUUUAAAAAAGAGAAUAGGUUCCUUUUUUUUUUUUUUUUUCUCCACAUGGUACAAAAUAAACAGAAUUUGCUUUAGAAAAAAAAAUCAUUAGCUAUGGCCAAAUUCGAAUUCCUGCUACAGCCUGUGUGUUCAGGGGCAGAAACAUUGUAUCUCUUCGGGCAUCUGGGCCGACAAGGGGAGCUGGGGGGCAGGGGAGAAAAGGGGAGAGGCUGUGAGAGUUAAGGAAAUUGACAGACUGAGAGGUGAAUGGGGGGACAGGCACCAGGUCCUGGCUGGAGGGAAUGGGAAAACAAAAGUGCAUCUUCACACGCUGCCUGGGUGGAGGGAAUUCUGAGGGAGGC